GGUGUUCCAGAAAGGCCAGCAGAGAGGGUUCCCCCCGGACCAGCGAGACGUUAGUCCCCGAGGGCUCCAGACACUCGGCCUCAGUACACAGGUCACCAGCGAUACUGGCGCUCGGAACUUGGCUGAGGACACCAGGAAAGGCGUCCACAACCAGAGAGUAUCCAUCGGCAGUGCCUGGAGCCGGGGAAGCACAGGGGAGCAAGGCCCUUCCCAGGGACCCCCCCGGAGGGCGGGACACCACCAGGAAGCCACCGCCAUGUCCCCGAGGAAGGCAGGAAGGCGGGCCUUGCGCUAAGGUGGCUCUUACUUCCCGCAGGACCUGUGACUGAUUUCAGCAAGCCGGCCCAGCUCUGGUGUCCUCAGGUUGUCCUCCCGCGGCGCCCCCUGCCCUCCGUUCGCUGGAGGACAGCCGUCCCCACCCCAACCGCCCGGGAAGCUGUUUCCACCUGCCACACUUUCACUCGCCAGCCCACCCAGGCCAGCGGGAUCUCUGGAAUCCCAGACCAUCAGAGCGGGGCCGCAGGGGAGCAUCGGCCUGUGAUUUUGUGGCUGGGGUUCCAGGAACCCACACAUAGAAUCUGCUUGGAGAACACAGUGCGGCUGCCGCUGAAAAUCCCGAGAAGAUGGGGCCCAUUGUUAUGAGUGAUUCACUUUCCUGUUCUUUCUCCCAAACACGCGGACAGAUCCACUUGGAACUUGUGUUUCUUUGUUGUUGUUUAAUAAAGCAGCAAUCAUAUACCAUGUGAGAUAAUGGAA